AGAAGAAAAUGCCAAUUUUUCCAAAAAGUGAGCAAUUCCACUAAGAUAAAAGCUGUAUGACUUGGGUGGAGUAGCCUAUAGAAAUUAGCUUGGCUGAAGCACUACAGUGAGAAUCUAUGUUUGGCUGAGAAUAACCUUGGAUUAUAUCCUAUGUGCAAGCUAACUUGUUUAGUCAUGGAUGCUGGCAAAAGAUACGAGGCUUGGGUCAGAAACAAAGGAACUUCUUACUCUCAUGACAUAGCAAGCAGUUUAAGCUUUGUACUUACUUUGGAUUGCUCUGUUUAUCUCCAAGCACCACUAACAUAAUUAGAAUGGCCCAAUGCAGGGAAUUUGUGUUAUACAGUCAACGAACCCUGAAUCUGAGAAACCUCAACUUUGCCCGAGAGAGAGACAUUGUCCUUACUAUUCUCAACAACAGACAAACCUGCCUCUCCUCCAAAUGGAAAUACAAUCUUUAUUAUGUUUCAAGGCUGUUUGCUAUACAAAUAUCUUUGAAAAGAUAGUCUGGAACGAAAGCUGUCAAUGCUUCUGCUCAGAAAACAUAUGGAAACCCAACAUUCAUAAAGAGUUGUCUCCAACAGGUAAGCUAAGAAAAAUUCAUGCAGGUCCUUCAGGGGUUUUGAAGGUUGGGCCUAAUUAAUGAUCUAUAACAAUUUAAGAUUUUAAGCUGAUUUUAUUUGACAUAAAAAGGGGGAAGAAUGUUUUGUUUUAGCAUUAUGCUAACAGAAAGACCAGUUAUAAAAUAAAGAAUGGGAAAUGUUAGGGUCUGUACUUAAAUGUUAUCAGUAAGAAAGAGUUUAUUGGAAAAUUCAAUGGAAAUUGUGCAGUAUUUCUAAUGGGAACUAAUAACACUAUAGGAAAUAAAAGAUAAGGAAUAUUUUUAAGUGACAUCAUCCCUACAUAUAAAAUUUAAUAUAUGAAAAGGGUGCAUCUUAAAUUAAUUAACAAAAAAGUAUAUUUACCAGGUGUGUCCAAUCUUUUGGCUUCCCUGGGCCACACUGGAAGAAGAAGAAUUGUCUUGGGCCACACAUAAAAUACACUAAUAGUAGCUGAUGAGCUAAAAAAAAAAUCACACAAAAAUCUCGUAAUGUUUUAAGAAAGUUUAUGAAUUUGUGUUGGGCCGCAUUCAAAACUGUCCUGGGCCACAUGCAGCCUACAGGCUGUGGUUAGAUAAGCUUGUUUUAAAAGAUAUUAGAGCAAUUGGUUAGUUAUUUGGGGAAAAAAUAACUUAGACUUUCACCCUUUAACACUUUCCAACCACAUGUAGAUAAUUUUAAAAAUUAUUGAGUUUUUAAAUUUAAAAAUUUAUAAAAUGGAUGUAUUAGAAGAAAAUAUUGUGUGUGUAUGGAUGUGUGUAGAGGAAAUUAACGUGAAGACAUUAUAGCUAUUUCUCCAUAAUAUUAUAGAUAAAUAACCAAGCCAUAAAAACAAAUAUUUGUGUCAUUGUGAGAAAAACCUUCCUAAAUACACAAACAAAUAUGGAAUUCAUAAAGGCAAGUAACUUAUAACACUUGCUUUUAUUUACACUGUCACUUUUACACUAGUUUUCAUCUCACUCUAAUUGAGAUACAUUUUCAACACCACAAAAUAUUAUUAGUUUUAUUUUAUGCAGUGAAAAAUAAUUUGUAUUUACUCAUAGAUUUAUCUUUUCCAGGACUCUCCAUCCUUUCCUGAAUUUUCUUACUUCUGUCUUUGAUUAUUUAGCUUUUGAUAUGAAACCGACAAUUCCACAUUUUAUUAGUCUCAAGUUUCCAUGUAUCAGCUUGGUUGUGACCUGGCUCAACUGAUAGCUAGGUUCUGUCAUGCUUUUGUGGUCAGUUGGCAGUCCAACUGAUUGCAGCAUGAUCUAGAAUGGCCCGCCACAUGUAUGAGAUAGUUGACAAGCCAUUGGUCUAGGAUGUGUCUGAGUUGGGAAGACACAGCUGUAAGACUUUAGGAGUAUUUCAUCUUCCACUAUGUUAGCCCACUAUUUUUCACAUAGUGGUUUCAGAGUUCUAAAGAAUGAUAAGAAAGCAGUUCCCAUAAGCUUUUCCAUAAUUUCCAAAAGGCGUAAUCUCUUUUCAAGCUUCUGGUUAUGUCCUGUUUGCCAAUUUCCAUUGUCUAAAGCAGUAUGCCUGUGUAUUAGUUUGCUAGAUUUGGUAUAACAAAGUACCACAGUCUGAGUGGCUUAAACAACAGAAAUACAUUUUCUCAAUGUUCUACAUACUAGAUGUCCAAAAUCAAGUUGUCAGUAGGGUGGAUUUUUUCUGAGGGCUGUGAAAGAAGAAGGUUUCAGGUCCCUCUCCAUCGAUUGUACAUGACCAUCUUUCCAGAAUGUCUCAUCACAUAGUCUUCCCACUAUACAUUUCUAUCUGUGCCCAAAUUUCCCCUUUUUAUAAGAACAACAGUCAUAUUGGAUUAGGACCUAAUGACCUCCCUUUAACUUGAUACAUAUAUAAAACUCUAUCUCCAAAUAAAGUCACAUUCUGAAGUACUUGGUGGUUAGAACUUCAACGUAUGAAUUUUGGGGGUGCACAAUGCAAUCAAUAACAACCUAGGAAACGGGUUCAAUUGAUGGUUUCAUAGACUCCAAAUCCUGAUGGGAGGAUCAGGGACAACAAGGAGCUAGGUGGAGGGGGGGUAAAAAAAAUGGCCACUUUUAUAAUCCACAACAAUCCAAAAUCAUCUUCUUUCCUGAAAAAUUAUUUAAUAUCUCUUCUGGUGGCAUGUCAUUAAUAACAAAAUCCUUCUUUUUUAUUCCUGAAAAUGUAUUUCACCUAAUUUUUGUCACCACGGCUGGAGUGCAGUGGUGCGAUCUUGGUUCACUACAACUCUGCCUUCUAGGUUCCAGCGAUUCUCCAGCCUCAGCCCCCCGAGUAGCUGAGACUACAGGCGCGCUCCACUGUGUCUAACUAAUUUUUGUAUUUUUAGUAAGGAUGGUGUUUCACCAUGUUGGCCAGGCUGGACUGGAACUCCUGACCUCAGGUGAUCUGCCCACCUCAGCCUCCCAAAGUGCUGGAAUUACAGGCGUGAGCCACCAUGACCAGCCUGAAAUAUAUUUUAAGUGAAUAUAGAAUUAUAGUUUGCCAGUUAUUUCAGCACUGUAAGGGUGUCUGUCAUUGUGCUCUCUGGCUUCCCUGGCUUAUGAUGAAAAGUUGGCCAUUACCUUUAUUAUUAUUCCUUGAAGGUAAUGAGUCGUUUAUCUAUAGUUGAUUUUAUAAUUUUUCUUUGGCAUCAGUUUUUCAUAAGUUUACUUUUGGAAAAUGCAUAGACUAUGAAAAGAUCAUCAUGAAUAAGUUCUAGCUCAACUUCUUGUUGUGUGGGGUCUGGCAUUAUUCUAAUUUCUCUUAUCUUCAGGGCAAAACCAAAAUUGAAUCUCAAACUGAAAGUUUGGGGUGUUUACAAGUGCCUCUACUAUUUGGUAAUCCCUGAGUUCCAGUUUUUGUCUUUCCAGCCAAAUGAGUCUUUUGCUCUCUUUACUUAACAUUUUAUCCUCUAAUUAACUGUGUUUUGCUUAUAUUCACAAUAACUUGCCCUGGGCAUAUGCAGUUCAAGAAUCAGUAAAUGCCUCAAAAGGAAAUUGCAGGAAGACUAUCAGGCUCACUUCUCUAUACAGUAUUUUUCUUUCCUCCAAGAUUUUGACUCCUCAAAUCAUGGUUGCUUUGGCAGCCUUGAGCUCCAAUUUUUGUCUACAAAGCCCACAGAGACUGCCACAGGCUCUAGAAUGUUGUUUUCUGUUUGACGUUUAUGUCCAGUGUAGUGAAUGAGCAAAUGCACCCAGAAGAAAUGUAAUCUCACCUCAAUGUGUUUCUUCUCUGCAGAAACUGUGCCCAUCAAGACCUGGC
rnacentral:lncRNA from 10 species